CACAUGGGGUCAAAGGACAGCUUGUGAGAGACAGUGCUUUCCUUCUACCUGCGGUCCUGGGGUUCCAAUUCCAGUUGUCAGGGCUGGUGGCAAGUGCCUUCACCUGCUACGUCAUCUCUGGCUCCUGUCCACGCCUUACAAUGCGGAUUAUCUCAACACAUGGGCUCUGCCAGAAUCUGCAAGGCUCAAGGGCCCUCAGCUCCUGGCCCUGCCUUUCCUAAUCACAGUUGGCCUGGGGCAGUGCAUUAUCUGUACCGGAAAAGGCGAUGGAGGGGCAAAGAGGAAGAGGGGGCAGACAGUCUAACGAGGGUCUGCGAAGGAUUGCUUCCAGCAGCUACUACCGAGUACCACCUCAUGUCAGAUCUCAGCAAUACGGCCACAUCUAGCAAGGGCAGCCGGAGAAUGAGGCAUCCUGUAACCAGAUUCCCAGCCAAGGGCUCUGUCACCGUCUGGGAAAGAAAGAAUGGGUACCAGGAAAUUCUCUGGCUUCCCCAAGCUACCAUGUCUUCAAAUCAAAAGAGGAAGGACAAGAGGCUGUACUUUAUAGCAGUGGAAAAUUAUUCUCCGGAUCUUCACGAGAAAGAAUUUUCAAAUUAUCUUCCAUCCCGGAAUCCUGUUUCUAAGCGGAUUGCCCUGGAAACCAAAUAACCGUACAGAUAACGCUGGCUUUGCCUCAAGUGGCCAAGUCUACCUACCCAUGCCGCUGGAGAGGGUUGAUUUGCCCAGGUCUUCAUGACCCUGCCGUAAUAACCCUCCCUUCAGAGAUGCUCUUAAACGGACAAUAAAGUCCAUUAUCCUAAUGCUGUCAAAAUACAGUUGUUUAAGCACAGCCUGUUAGCCUGUGGACCACUCCCAGCCCCCAUUAUUCUUGCUCUUUGGUGAAACAGCCGUAGCCCCUGGCUCCCCACAUCACAGACAUCCCAGUGGUCUCCCCUCCACCGGGUACCCUGCCCACGGCUUCCCGAAGCAUCUUCCUAAGCCAGUGCUGACAACAGUGACUGUACUGUGUGCCACCCAUGUGGGUAAAGUGUCCUGUGUGUACUGCCUUGCGUACUUGUUUGGGUUGCUGGGGACAAACCAGGGACUCUCUGUGUGGUAGGCAGGACUCUACCGCUGUGCUACAUCUCCAGAAAAAAAUGUUCUACCUUAAAACAACUCCUUCCUCUUGCCCUCAAAAAGUCUCAUCCUACCGAGCCUGAGACGCUACCGUGUUGCUCUCUGGCUCGUGAGGGCAAACCUGAAAGGUAUUUCUUGUUCUCCACGCUCUGCCUUCUGUUCCUCUCUCUGGGUGAUUGGUCCAUUCACUUAAUAUAAUGGAGCUUUGUGUUUGAAUAGAGGUAGGUUUCCAACUGGGAUGUUAAGGAUUCCUCUAUCACAGGCUGUGGUUACAGGUAUUAAAAUGUUUACUGAUAAUGGUAAACAUAUAUGCACUAUUACCACCUGGAAAAAGCAAACACAUAGAAACAGGUAAGGAUUUAGAAAUGCAAACAAACCAUCAUUUCCUUCUUCCCUGUACUGGGGUGUCUUGGUCUCAAUUAUAUCAACUGCUUUUUAGGCUCUGUUUAUUUACCUUUUGUUUUUGUUUUUUUGAGACAAAGUCUCCCUAUGUAACCCUAACUAUGCUGUAACUCUUUAUGUACACCAGGCUGGUCUGGAACUCACAGAGAUCUGCCUGCCUCUGCCACCAGAGUGCUGGGAUUAAAGGCUUUUGCCACCA